CCUACGGGAGGCAGCAGUGGGGAAUUUUGGACAAUGGGCGAAAGCCUGAUCCAGCCAUGCCGCGUGCAGGAUGAAGGCCUUCGGGUUGUAAACUGCUUUUGUACGGAACGAAAAGACUCUGGUUAAUACCUGGGGUCCAUGACGGUACCGUAAGAAUAAGCACCGGCUAACUACGUGCCAGCAGCCGCGGUAAUACGUAGGGUGCGAGCGUUAAUCGGAAUUACUGGGCGUAAAGCGUGCGCAGGCGGUUAUAUAAGACAGAUGUGAAAUCCCCGGGCUCAACCUGGGAACUGCAUUUGUGACUGUAUAGCUAGAGUACGGCAGAGGGGGAUGGAAUUCCGCGUGUAGCAGUGAAAUGCGUAGAUAUGCGGAGGAACACCGAUGGCGAAGGCAAUCCCCUGGGCCUGUACUGACGCUCAUGCACGAAAGCGUGGGGAGCAAACAGGAUUAGAUACCCUGGUAGUCCACGCCCUAAACGAUGUCAACUGGUUGUUGGGUCUUCACUGACUCAGUAACGAAGCUAACGCGUGAAGUUGACCGCCUGGGGAGUACGGCCGCAAGGUUGAACUUAAAGGAAUUGACGGCUGAGAGNGCGACGACGACGACGAGGGAGGAGG
rnacentral:rRNA from 1 species